rnacentral:misc_RNA from 1 species
CUGGACCAGAAGGUCAAGGAGAUCGAGCGCCAGCGAUCGCUUCUGAACCAGCUGCAAGCCGACCUGGAUGCGAUGAAGACGGAGCUAUCCGUGGCGAGCGCCAAGCACCGCGAGGCGCUGGAGAAGGUCGCGAAGCUCAGCCAAUCCGAAGCGCAGUCGCUCUUGUCCGCGGAGCUGGAGAAGGAGUUUUCGUCCCACUUCGCCGC